GGGGAUUUAGCUCAGUCGUACAGCACCUGCCUUGCAAGCACAAGGUCCUGAGUUCAAUCCCCA
rnacentral:tRNA from 1 species